GAAAGUUUUGGCAAUGGGAAGUGGGAGAAAUUCUGCUAUCCAUCCUAACCUUACUGUUGUUUGCAGGAUUCGCUGACGGUCCUGAUGGGCUCGAGGACCAGCAGCCUCUGGGACUUGGACUCCCUUCUGGAGGAGGAAUCUGAGGAUAGCUGGGACCAGGAUGCAGAGGCUUCAGAGCCCAGCCCUUCUUCCAGUCCAUGGGAUUCUCCAGAGGACGACACUCUGGAGGAUGUCAGUAGCCUGGAAGAAGACAUCCUGGACUCCCUGGAGCGCCUUCUCCAAUGAGAAGAGAUGCUUCCUCAGAUUCCACUCCAGAGGUCAGCCCCAGGCACCGCGGGAGCCUCCAGCUUGCCUCGCCUCACCUUGCCUGGAUGCCUCGCCGACUGCUGCUCGCUGAAAAAGCUUGCUUACCUUCGCUCUUCGGACCGAAUCCCGAGCCACUGGUUGCAACAUCUGCCUUUCUUCGCUUGCUGCAAGCCCUACAAUCGAUUGCAUCCGCUAGCAACUGAAUCUGCCUGCCUGCAAUUGAUCUCAUCAGUGAGCAACUGAAUCUGCCUGCCCUGUCCCUUCAACUGGUAGCUGCUGCCUUUAACAGGAAGGAUGAAAAGGCAACAGACUUUGACGGGUUUCUUGGCCAAGAAACCAAAACUUGAACAACCACCAGCAGAAGUGGAACAAGAACCAUCCCCAGCGCCACAAGUGCCACCACUUGAAACUGGACAAAACAGCAAAGCAAGUAUAGAGUCACCCACCGCACCUGAAAUCGGAAACAUUCUUCCAGACUGCUGGACCUUGCAACAGUACAGCUUCUUCCAAUAUGACGGUGUCGUGUCCCACUCCUCCGCUGACGGCCGGAUCAGGGAAAUCCAAAUCAGGCGUGCCUCUGCAGCUCUGCCAAAGUCCUAGCAAAGUUCUCAAGGCAGGCAGGAGACCAGGAAGUGACUUCAGCAAUAUAAGGUAGACUUUGCCUGACUCAGAGAAUGUCAGAAAACAGAUCCUUUAUAUAGGCCAUGGGUUGUGGCUCCAUGACUCAGCACUUAUCCAGGCCUGCCCCUCCCUUCCUUCUGUUGACGCCGCCUAUCAAUUCUCCUGAAGCGAGGGUCACUCCUUCCUCAGGCUCACAUGCUGUGGGGGAGGGGGAGGGGUCUAGUUGCUCCGUUUGCCUGGGCAUGGAGCCAGGGCUGGGGCUGGAAGCACUUCUUCUUCCUCGGCCUGUCUGGGCAUGGUGCCAGGGCUGGGGCCUGGAGGCAUGCUAGGACAUUCCUCAGCGUUCGGAAGGAGAUAAGACGGGCCCGGCUGUGGGGAAAGCGGACGAGACACAACAGACGGGUUGGAAGUUUCAAACAAGAAGCUAGGUUGUAAAUCCUGUGCGAAAUAUGGCUUCGCAAUGGAGAGCGAUAUUCAUGUUAGCAAAGAGUGGAAGCUUUUCAAGAUUGAGCCAGCUGGGAAAACAAGGAAGUGCACCAGGCGUCUCUAUGCAAGAAAAUGAGAGAACAUUUUGUAUCGAAAUCUCACACCGUUUGUAGAGACAACGUCAAACAAGCUGAGCAGGAAGCCAUAACAAAAGCAAAGGACAAGAUUUCUGAAAUGCAAUUUGCCACCACUUCUAAAAUGUUCAAAACUGUUUACAGCCUGGCAAAAGCAUGCAGACCAAUCCAAGCAUCGAGAAACUGAUAGAAUUACAAACUGAAAAUGGACUAGAUCUGGGAAUAGGGUUGCAUUCAAGACCAACAGUUGUCAAAAUAGUUGAGUGCAUUACAAACGAAAUUAAAACCCAAAUGUUUUCCAGCAUCGUUGCUCAGCAUCUGAAAAUAUGUCUGAUCAUUGAUGAAGCCUCAACAGUAUCCUGCAAACCAGUUUUGAUCGUUUUCUUAAAAGUUGAGGACUCAGAGGACCCACCAACAAUUUUUGCCGAGCUGGUUGAAUUGAAGAAACAAGAUGCAGAGACAAUAUGUUCUGCAGUUUUUGAAAGUUUACAUAAGGUUGGAUUUACCCGGGACUACCUUCAAAAAAAUGUAAUAGCGUUCUGCCCUGAUGAUGCCAGCGUUAUGCUUGGGAGAAAAUCUGGAGUGAGCACCAGAAUAGCCAAAGAGUUUCCAAACAUCAUCAUAUGGCACUGCUUGAACCAUCGCCUCCAACUUGUUUUAGAUGACGCCAUAAAGGAAAUAAAGCAAGUAACUCAUUUUACAUUUUUUAUUGAUAAGAUAUGCUCCAUUUUCCAGCAAUCGAAUAAAAACCGGAUUGAACUAGACAAAAUAUCUGAAGAACUUGACAUUAACAUCAUAAGGAUUGGUUGGGUUUUUGGGCCAAGAUGGGCUGCCUGUACUUUAAGGGCAACCAUAGCUGCGUGGCGUGCUUUCCUGUGCUACAUCAAUAUUUUCAUGCGAAUGCAAAAUACUCGGGUAUGGCUGCCUGUCUGGAAAAUAAACAUUUCUUAAAUGAUUUGGCGUUGAUGAUAGACAUUUUGGAAGAAAUUUCACUUCUUUCAACUACACUGCAAGCAUGCAAUACGGACAUAAUAAAAGCUGAAAAACUGGUGAGAAGAUCAAUAAAGGGAUUAGAACAACUAACAAAGGGAAAGGGCCCAUACGAAAGAAAAGUUGAGGGACUAAUUACCUCAGAAACUUUCAAGAAUAUAAAGUUCAUAGAAAACGAUCGAUUUGUUGGUCUUCAUCGAGAAAGACUUUUACAAAGUAUCAUCAAAAAUUUGCCUAAACGACUGAUGGACUGUGAGCAUUUAAAAACUGGGAACCAACGGCAAGACACCACAAACGUACUACAGUUUCUACAGUUUUUGGGUGCCAGAGUACUGAGAUGUUGAGGAAAUAGUCGUGCCAUGGGCAGCAGGUGAAGAACAACUGCGCACAUUCAGUGACAUUUUCAACUACAAAAUGGACAUCAGUGACUACAGAGAUUUUGUGGAGAAUGUCUUGAAAGAUUCGAAGAGGUGUGCAAUUCCUGACAGUAUCAAAAAAGCAAAAGAUAUUGUCAGAACAAUUGCAGUGAGUUCUGCAGAAGCAGAAAGGGGUUUUUCUAAAAUGAACCUGAUAUGUUCAGAGAGCAGAAGUCGCCUAGCCAUUUCCAAUCUAACCAGCCUCAUGACCAUCAGCGUUACUGGACUACCUCUUCCAAAAUGGGACCCUAUUUCUGCAGUGAAAAAAUGGUUCAGAGAACACCAUCGCUCAGCCAAUGAUCCGCGCAUCAGGUGUAAGAAAAGUGGAAGCGAGGAGAGUGCCACUGAAAUAGCUAUUUGGAAACAUCUCCUAGCUAAAGACGACUAACAGUUUUAUGUCGUUAUUAUCCUCGGUGCAAGAAGCGUCGUUGAAGACAACACUUUUAUUGCUCUUCUCUCCAAAGAAGUGAUGUCGACUUGGCCACGCCCACCAGUCACAUGGCCACCAACCCAGGCCCACCUGGUCACCAAACCACGCCCACCAAUUAAGCCACGCCACAGAACCGGCAGCGAAAAUUUUGAGAUUUCACCCCUGCUCCAGGUGCUUGCAGAGAGAGUCUAUCCGGAAUCACAGUGUGGCUUUCGAGCCAACAGGUCCACUAAUGACAUGCUAUUUUCCCUUAGACAAUUGUAGGAGAAAUGCAGGGAACAAAGACAGCCACUUUUUGUAGCCUUCAUAGUUUUUGGCAUCACCUGGCAGGACAAAGUUCCAAAUAGCGCAGCAGGAACGUGCUGGAAUUUCUAGCAUGUAUACACUAUUGAAACAGCGGGAUCUACGCUGGCUUGGGCAUGUUGUGAGAAUGGCUGAUGGUCGGAUUCCGAAAGAUCUCUUGUAUGGAGAAUUAGUGCAGGAAAAAGGCCUCAGAGGGAGACCACAGCUGCGAUAUAAGGAUAUCUGCAAGAGGGACCUAAAGGCCCUGGGAAUGGACAUUAACAACUGAAAAACCUUGACCUCCGAUCGUUGAGCUUGGAGGCUAAAGAUGCAGCAUGGCCUUCUCCAAUUCGAAGAGACAUUUGUUCAGCAGGCUGAGGCAAAGAGGCAGUCCCGGAACCAGCGAAAUCUGGGGGCUGGGCAGGGGACAGAAUGUAUCUGCCCUCAGUGUGGAAGGGAUUGCCACUCUCGAAUUGGCCUUUUUAGCCACACUAGAUGCUGUUUCCAGAGCACGAUACCAUAGUCUUUUGAGACUGAAGGAUGCCAAUCGUAAUAGCUAAAAAAUAAAAGCAACAGUUAAAUAAAGUUGUUCAUUAUUUACAAUUAUUUCCCUUUAGCUAUCAGUAUAGUAUUCAGUGGAUAAAAUGAUAAAGAAUUGUACAACAUGUAUACAA